GGUCUGAGAGGAUGAUCCGCCACACUGGGACUGAGACACGGCCCAGACUCCUACGGGAGGCAGCAGGGGGGAAUUUUGGACAAUGGGCGCAAGCCUGAUCCAGCCAUGCCGCGUGUCUGAAGAAGGCCUUCGGGUUGUAAAGGACUUUUGUCCGGGAGCAAAUCCCAGUGGUUAAUACCUACUGGGGCUGAGAGUACCGGAAGAAUAAGCACCGGCUAACUACGUGCCAGCAGCCGCGGUAAUACGUAGGGUGCAAGCGUUAAUCGGAAUUACUGGGCGUAAAGCGUGCGCAGGCGGUUGUGCAAGUCUGAUGUGAAAGCCCCGGGCUUAACCUGGGAACGGCAUUGGAGACUG
rnacentral:rRNA from 3 species